rnacentral:rRNA from 1 species
CAAUAGCGUAUAUUUAAGUUGUUGCAGUUAAAAAGCUCGUAGUUGGAUUUCGGUUAAGAGCGACCGGUCCGCCGUUUGGUGUGCACUGGUUGGUUUUAACUUCCUGUAGAGGACGUGCUCUGGGUUUAACGACCUGGACUCGGAGUCUACGUGGUUACUUUGAAAAAAUUAGAGUGUUCAAAGCGGGCUUACGCUCGAAUAUUUCAGCAUGGAAUAACACUAUAGGACUCCUGUCCUAUUUCGUUGGUCUCGGGACGGGAGUAAUGAUUAAGAGGAACAGUUGGGGGCAUUCGUAUUUCAUUGUCAGAGGUGAAAUUCUUGGAUUUAUGAAAGACGAACUUCUGCGAAAGCAUUUGCCAAGGAUGUUUUCAUUA